rnacentral:ncRNA from 1 species
UUCGCAACAUCCACAACAAGUGCCGAGCAAUAUGCUCAAGGGAAACUGGUGUAAAUCCAGCACUGCCCCCGCAACGGUAACGAUGAAACAUCUAUUGUUUUCAGCUCAGAACUGACACCACUGCAUGAUAUAAAAAUGUGGGAAGGUGAAUAGAUCAAUUAUGUCUUGGCAUAAUUAUAUCGAAGUCCGGAGACCUGCUUGUUGUAUUUAUCCAUU